ACGGGAGGCAGCAGUAGGGAAUAUUGGACAAUGAGCGCAAGCUUGAUCCAGCCAUACCGCGUGUGUGAAGAAGGCCUUCGGGUUGUAAAGCACUUUAAGCAGGGAGAAAAAGUUAUAGGUUAAUACCCUAUGACCGUGAUGUUACCUGCAGAAUAAGCACCGGCUAAUUCCGUGCCAGCAGCCGCGGUAAUACGGAAGGUGCAAGCGUUAAUCGGAAUUACUGGGCGUAAAGCGCGCGUAGGUGGUUUGUUAAGUUGGAUGUGAAAGCCCUGGGCUCAACCUAGGAACUGCAUCCAAAACUAACUCACGAGAGUACGAUAGAGGGAGGUAGAAUUCAUAGUGUAGCGGUGGAAUGCGUAGAUAUUAUGAAGAAUACCAGUGGCGAAGGCGGCCUCCUGGAUCUGUACUGACACUGAGGUGCGAAAGCGUGGGUAGCGAACAGGAUUAGAUACCCUGGUAGUCCACGCCGUAAACGAUGACAACUAGCUGUUGGGAGACAAUGUCUUUCAGUGGCGCAGCUAACGUUUUAAGUUGUCCGCCUGGGGAGUACGGCCGCAAGGCUAAAACUCAAAUGAAUUGACGG
rnacentral:rRNA from 1 species